GUAGGGAAUUUUCGGCAAUGGGGGAAACCCUGACCGAGCAACGCCGCGUGAGCGAAGAAGGCCUUCGGGUCGUAAAGCUCUGUUGUAAAGGAAGAACGUCGCAUGCAGGAAAUGGUGUGCGAGUGACGGUACUUUACCAGAAAGCCACGGCUAACUACGUGCCAGCAGCCGCGGUAAUACGUAGGUGGCGAGCGUUAUCCGGAAUCAUUGGGCGUAAAGAGGGAGCAGGCGGCCGCAAGGGUCUGUGGUGAAAGACCGAAGCUAAACUUCGGUGAGCCAUGGAAACCGGGCGGCUAGAGUGCGGAAGAGGAUCGUGGAAUUCCAUGUGUAGCGGUGAAAUGCGUAGAUAUAUGGAGGAACACCAGUGGCGAAGGCGACGGUCUGGGCCGCAACUGACGCUCAUUCCCGAAAGCGUGGGGAGCAAAUAGGAUUAGAAACCCUAGUAGUCC
rnacentral:rRNA from 1 species